rnacentral:piRNA from 1 species
UCCAGUACAUAUGCGCUCAGCACCUGCCCA